rnacentral:rRNA from 1 species
AUUGAACGCUGGCGGCAUGCCUUACACAUGCAAGUCGAACGGCAGCACGGGGGCAACCCUGGUGGCGAGUGGCGAACGGGUGAGUAACACAUCGGAACGUGUCCUGUUGUGGGGGAUAACCAGUCGAAAGACUGGCUAAUACCGCAUGAGCUGGAGACAGGAAAGCGGGGGACCUGAAAGGGCCUCGUGCGAUUGGAGCGGCCGAUGUCCGAUUAGCUAGUUGGUGGGGAAAGGCCCACCAAGGCGACGAUCGGUAGCUGGUCUGAGAGGAUGAUCAGCCACACUGGGACUGAGACACGGCCCAGACUCCUACGGGAGGCAGCAGUGGGGAAUUUGGACAAUGGGGGCAACCCUGAUCCAGCCAUGCCGCGUGAGUGAAGAAGGCCUGGUGUAAGA